rnacentral:rRNA from 1 species
CCUACGGGUGGCAGCAGUGAGGAAUAUUGGUCAAUGGACGCAAGUCUGAACCAGCCAUGCCGCGUGCAGGAAGACGGCUCUAUGAGUUGUAAACUGCUUUUGUACGAGGGUAAACGCAGAUACGCGUAUCUGUCUGAAAGUAUCGUACGAAUAAGGAUCGGCUAACUCCGUGCCAGCAGCCGCGGUAAUACGGAGGAUUCAAGCGUUAUCCGGAUUUAUUGGGUUUAAAGGGUGCGUAGGCGGGUUAUCAAGUCAGCGGUAAAAUCGUGGAGCUCAACUCCAUCCAGCCGUUGAAACUGAUGAUCUUGAGUGGGCGAGAAGUAUGCGGAAUGCGUGGUGUAGCGGUGAAAUGCAUAGAUAUCACGCAGAACUCCGAUUGCGAAGGCAGCAUACCGGCGCCCGACUGACGCUGAAGCACGAAAGCGUGGGUAUCGAACAGGAUUAGAUACCCCAGUAGUC